AUACGGAGGAUCCAAGCGUUAUCCGGAUUUAUUGGGUUUAAAGGGUGCGCAGGCGGAAGAUUAAGUCGGCGGUGAAAUUUUGCAGCUCAACUGUAAAAGUGCCAUCGAUACUGGUUUUCUUGAGUGUGGAUGAAGGAGGCGGAAUUUGUGGUGUAGCGGUGAAAUGCAUAGAUAUCACGAGGAACUCCGAUUGCGCAGGCAGCUUACUAGGCCAUAACUGACGCUCAGGCACGAAGGCGUGGGGAUCAAACAGGAUUAGAUACCCUGGUAGUCCACGCAGUAAACGAUGAUUACUCGCUGUUUGCGAUACACAGUAAGCGGCUUAGCGAAAGCGUUAAGUAAUCCACCUGGGGAGUACGUUCGCAAGAAUGAAACUCAAAUGAAUUGACGGG
rnacentral:rRNA from 1 species